CAUAAAAGUGCAUCUAUCCAUCAUAAAAGUGCAUCUAUCCAUCAUAAAAGUGCGUCUGUCCAUCAUAAAAUACAUCUAUACAUCAUAAAAGUGCAUCUAUCCAUCAUAAAAGUGCAUCUAUCCAUCAUAAAAUACAUCUAUACAUCAUAAAAGUGCAUCUAUCCAUCAUAAAAGUGCAUCUGUCCAUCAUAAAAGUGCAUCUAUCCCUCAUAAAAGUG